UUGCUGAAGGAAUUAUUGGGUAUUUUAAGGAACCUGGUAAUAAGAUUGCUGUUAAAAAUGUGGAGAAGCAGGCAUUUCAUGGUUUAUGUCAGAAAACAGUUGUUCACAGGGCUCAGGUGCUAGAUAUUUCCCCAAAAGAGAAGGAAAAUAUGUUCUGUAGUGUCAAAAUUAACUAUAUAGAUGAAGGCAGAACAUGUCAAGUCCAAAGUUACCAGCUGCUUCACUCACCUGCCAAGUUUCAGUGUCUGCCACCUCAGGCUGGGGACUUUGUAGAGUGACACCCAUUGGUAAUGAACUGGAGUGGAACCCAAAGGUAACUAAUUCUAUUCAUCAAACACUUAAAGGAGAACUACACAAAGUAAAAGUAGUACUGCCCUUGGGAAACACAACUGGGAUUGACCCAAUUGGAGUUAACUACGAGUUCCUUACGACACUAUUAUGAUGAAAAAGAUGGCAAUAUCUGGAGAAGAAUUAAACAUGGGAACGUGCCU